rnacentral:rRNA from 1 species
AACGAACGCUGGCGGCAGGCUUAACACAUGCAAGUCGAACGCCCCGCAAGGGGAGUGGCAGACGGGUGAGUAACGCGUGGGAACAUACCCUUUUCUACGGAAUAGCUCUGGGAAACUGGAAUUAAUACCGUAUACGCCCUACGGGGGAAAGAUUUAUCGGGGAAGGCUUGGCCCGCGUUGGAUUAGCUAGUUGGGGGGGUAAAGGCCUACCAAGGCGACGAUCCAUAGCUGGUCUGAGAGGAUGAUCAGCCACAUUGGGACUGAGACACGGCCCAAACUCCUACGGGAGGCAGCAGUGGGGAAUAUUGGACAAUGGGCGCAAGCCUGAUCCAGCCAUGCCGCGUGAGUGAUGAAGGCCUUAGGGUUGUAAAGCUCUUUCACCGAUGAAGAUAAUGACGGUAGUCGGAGAAGAAGCCCCGGCUAACUUCGUGCCAGCAGCCGCGGUAACAC